rnacentral:rRNA from 1 species
GAUGAACGCUGGCGGCGUGCCUAAUACAUGCAAGUCGAGCGAACAGACGAGGAGCUUGCUCCUCUGACGUUAGCGGCGGACGGGUGAGUAACACGUGGAUAACCUACCUAUAAGACUGGGAUAACUUCGGGAAACCGGAGCUAAUACCGGAUAAUAUAUUGAACCGCAUGGUUCAAUAGUGAAAGACGGUUUUGCUGUCACUUAUAGAUGGAUCCGCGCCGCAUUAGCUAGUUGGUAAGGUAACGGCUUACCAAGGCGACGAUGGGUAGCCGACCUGAGAGGGUGAUUCGCCACACUGGAACUGAGACACGGUCCAGACUCCUACGGGAGGCAGCAGUAGGGAAUCUUCCGCAAUGGGCGAAAGCCUGACGGAGCAACGCCGCGUGAGUGAUGAAGGUCUUCGGAUCGUAAAACUCUGUUAUUAGGGAAGAACAAAUGUGUAAGUAACUAUGCACGUCUUGACGGUACCUAAUCAGAAAGCCACGGCUAACUACGUG